AGCCUGUACUUCCCGGAACAGUCAUUAAAACUCAAGAGAUGAAAAAUGGCUUUUUGAGCAAUAGACCUCUGGUAUCCAAGGGAUUUUAGUCUGUAUUUAAAUGGAUUAAACAGAGGGAUCACACUAGCUACAUGACAGUGUAGAACGCUUAGUUUAUUCCCCAGCCCUUCAGUAUUUCUCCUUCCUCCAGCUCAGCAGAAGAAAGAGAGAAAAACAUGAAUAAACUUCAACUCAUCUGUUUUUUAGUUCUCCUCCUCUCUUGCAGCUUGGCUGAAGCCCUCAAAUGCAAUGUCUGCUUGGACUACAGAGCUGGAAAACCCUGUCUCAAAGGAAAGGGGGUCUGCACAGCUCGCCCUGGAGAGCAAUGCGUCUAUACCAGGAUCAUAAGCAGAGAGAAGAACUCUGCUACAAGAGGGUGCAAAAAAACAAGUGAGAACUGCAACAAAACAAUUAAGAAAGCUGGUACAAUAACAAUAACAACUUGCUGUAGCUACCCUGACUUUUGCAUGUAUCAAAUCAAGAAACCCGGAAAAUGAAACAAAAAUAAGAAUAUUUUUUUCUGUAUCUGAAAUACUCCGAGCUCAGUUGAUUUCUGAAUCACCACUGUUUUGCACACUCGUUUGCUUUUGCUGCUUUCUAGUUUUCUCUGUUUCCCCUUGUUUAUUGAUGUAUUCUUUUUACUCACAAUAAAAGCCUCAGACUUUAGAGUAAUCGUUUUGGA
rnacentral:lncRNA from 1 species